rnacentral:rRNA from 1 species
UGCGUAGGUGGUCAUAUUAGUCUUCUGUUAAAGGUCCGGGCUCAACCCGGGAAAUGCGGAGGAAACGGUAUGACUAGAGGGUGAGAGAGGUGUACGGAACUCACGGUGUAGGGGUGAAAUCCGUUGAUAUCGUGGGGAACACCAAAUGCGAAGGCAGUACACUGGCUCAUUCCUGACACUGAGGCACGAAAGCGUGGGUAGCGAACG